rnacentral:antisense_RNA from 1 species
AUCGCGAGAUCAGGAAGGUGGCCGAGUGUUUCGCCGCGGCCAUCAGGCACUUCUCCUUCCUGCCAUUGUAUGAAGAAGGAUGUGUUUGCUUCCCCUUGUGCCAUGAUUGUAAGUUUCCUGAGGCCUCCUCAGCCCUGCGGAACUGGCUAGAGCAAUGUAUCUUAGGCUCACUUAAGGAAGCUGUAGAGAUGAGCCCAAGGAGGGAAACCAGAAGAGCCCCCCAGGCUCGCCAGUUGUUUGUUGGCUCCCUACAAACAUGUCAUUCAAGUGGCUAAUCUUACAACAGCACAAAUUCAUCUAACCAGAAAGAGAAGAGGAGGCUCCAAAGGCACUUGACUACUGAGCAUCACCCUGGACGUGUACAAGUCUGCGUCCUUAUUGUUUUCUUCAUUGGGCCGAACUUUCUGGUCCUCAUCCAACAGCUCUUCUAUCACGUGUUCGAAAGUGUCAGCCAACGAUGUCAAGCCUCUUGAACCUGCCUUGGGCCCAUUCACGCUCUCCAGAGUCCCAUGGGUCCGCACACCUGGAGAUACUCUAUUAUAGCAAAGAAGAAAGAUAAUUUCAUUGAGCCAUCCUGUUUUACAGGAAAUUCUGCAAGUGGCAACGUGGGUCAUUCCGUGUGUGUCACUAGAGCUGGCGCAAGCCCAUGGCCAUGGUGAGGCAGUGUUUCCACUGGAACUAAUCUGAUACCUGCACCAGCUCUUGGAACUGUGCAGUGUUCCCACUGCAAACUACGGAUGGGGAUUUUCCCUCCUGGUGAGUCAAAAUGAACAAGAAAUACCCCAGGACCUCCCUUCCCUCCUUGGCCAUUAAUGAGAUUAAGGCAAUUAACUCACAUAGUAUAAAUGAAUCAUUUGAGGUGAUGACUGCAUUUUAGGCAAAUGAUGACUUUCUUGGUUCCAUUGGUUUGCAAGUAAAAGUUACACACAUUGAAAAGACACUGAAACAGAUUUCCUAAAUGCUUCAUUUUCUGGAUGCACCAAUGUUGACCUACUAUACCUGUUAAAUGGUUUUAAAAUAUCACCUUAAAAUAAAGGAAACUUCCAGCUACUAACUCAGCUCUGAAUGGGCUAUGAAAGGCUCCAAAGGUAUGUGAAAAAUUACUGUUAUUUUGCUUUAAAAAAUGUGAUGUCUAAGAGUGUCUGCAAUGUUCUAAUGCUUCAAAACAUGUACGUAAGCCUUGUUUAUCUGGAAAUCAUUUCUUUCUGCUUAUAUCAUUUAUAAAUAGAAAAUGUUCUGUAAUAACUUAAAAUAGUUCCACAUACAUAAUGCUUUUCGUGUCAUAAUACUUACUACUGGUCUAUAUUUACCAACAUUUAUCACAUUUUACAAAAUGAAGUAGAAGAAAAAAAAAGACAACGACUUUAUGGCCCUGGAAUUCCAGUAAUGGUGACCAACAUGUUUUAAAUUCCAGUAAAGGUUAUGGUUACAUUUCAACAA